ACUACGCCUACGGGAAGCAGCAGUAGGGAAUUUUCGUCAAUGGGGGCAACCCUGAACGAGCAAUGCCGCGUGAGCGAAGAAGGUCUUCGGAUUGUAAAGCUCUGUUGCCGGGGAAAAAGGAAGGAAAGAGGAAAUGCUUUUCUUUGGAUGGUACCCGGCCAGAAAGUCACGGCUAACUACGUGCC
rnacentral:rRNA from 1 species